ensembl:lncRNA novel transcript
GGGAAGUUCGAACAGAAGUCUGGGGAAGAGCCGGCGAAGAGCAAAGAGAUAAUACAGUACUCCCAGCUAUAGCAAGCGGCAGUUAUGGAGCAUGCGCAGCAGCAGGGGCGGCCGCAGUCAAGGGAUUUGUACAGCCCUGUAGGAGACACCUCCAGAGAAAGUAACAGCUCUCAAUUGAUUAGCUGAGAAUAAACAGAUGCUUUUACAGCUCGCCUUGGCGGGAAGAUCUGGCACAAAUGAAGUAUCUAUAAGGAGCAGCAGAGUCAAGGUGGUGAUCCUGUGGAUGAA